UACGUAGGUGACAAGCGUUGUCCGGAUUUACUGGGCGUAAAGAGCGCGCAGGCGGUCGAUCAAGUCGAGUGUGAAAGCCCCCGGCUCAACUGGGGAGGGUCAUUCGAAACUGGUCGACUCGAAGGCAGGAGAGGGUAGUGGAAUUCCCGGUGUAGUGGUGAAAUGCGUAGAUAUCGGGAGGAACAUCAGUGGCGAAGGCGGCCAUCUGGGACAACACUGACGCUGAAGCACGAAAGCGUGGGGAGCAAACAGG
rnacentral:rRNA from 1 species